rnacentral:siRNA from 1 species
UCCACUUGAUCCGCUUAAUCCGCU